rnacentral:rRNA from 1 species
UGGGGAAUAUUGCACAAUGGGGGAAACCCUGAUGCAGCGCCGCCGCGUGAGCGAAGAAGGCUUUCGAAUCGUAAAGCUCUGUCCUAUGAGAAGAUAAUUACGGUAUCAUAGGAGGAAGCCCCGGCUAAAUACGUGCCAGCAGCCGCGGUAAUACGUAUGGGGCGAGCGUUGUCCGGAAUUAUUGGGCGUAAAGGGUACGUAGGCGGUCUAUUAAGUCAGGUGGGAAAGCGUGAGGCGUAACCUCAUUAAGCACUUGAAACUGAUAGACGUGAGUGAAGGAGAGGAAAGUGGAAUUCCUAGUGUAGCGGGGAAAUGCGUAGAUAUUAGGAGGAAUACAGGUGGCGAAGGCGACUUUCUGGACUUUUACUGACGCUCAGGUACGAAAGCGUGGGGAGCAAACAGG